CGAAGGAUCCAAGCGUUGUCCGGAUUUACUGGGUUUAAAGGGUGCGUAGGCGGACUUUUAAGUCAGUGGUGAAAGCUUGCAGCUUAACUGUAAAAUUGCCAUUGAAACUGAAAGUCUCGAGUGUGGUUGAGGUAACUGGAAUAUAUCAUGUAGCGGUGUAAUGCUUAGAUAUGAUAUAGAACACCAAUUGCGAAGGCAGGUUACUGAGCCACAACUGACGCUGAGGCACGAAAGCGUGGGGAUCAAACAGGAUUAGAUACCCUGGUAGUCCACGCCGUAAACGUUGAAUACUCGAUCUUAGCGAUACACAGUUAGGAUCCAAGCGAAAGCGUUAAGUAUUCCACCUGGGAAGUACGUUCGCAAGAAUG
rnacentral:rRNA from 1 species